UCAAACUUUAAGUCUCUCAUUUUCUGGGUAAUUGCUUUACCAACUAAAUUACCAUGGUUGCAGGUUUCAACUUUUAAAAUUAUUUCUAAAAGACUCGAACUAUUUCACAUUAUAGAUUUAGGGAAUUAGCAAAAUGGAUGUGUGAACAGUUGAGGGGACAAUGUGGCCCUUGGGUUGCAAAUUGUAUACAAAUUUGUAUUUU